rnacentral:rRNA from 1 species
UAAAGGCCUACCAUGGCGACGAUCUGUAGCUGGUCUGAGAGGAUGAUCAGCCACACCGGGACUGAGACACGGCCCGGACUCCUACGGGAGGCAGCAGUGGGGAAUAUUGGACAAUGGGGGCAACCCUGAUCCAGCCAUGCCGCGUGUGUGAAGAAGGCCUUUUGGUUGUAAAGCACUUUAAGCAGUGAAGAAGACUCCAUGGUUAAUACCCAUGGACGAUGACAUUAGCUGCAGAAUAAGCACCGGCUAACUCUGUGCCAGCAGCCGCGGUAAUACAGAGGGUGCAAGCGUUAAUCGGAAUUACUGGGCGUAAAGCGAGCGUAGGUGGCUUGAUAAGUCAGAUGUGAAAGCCCCGGGCUUAACCUGGGAACGGCAUCUGAUACUGUUAGGCUAGAGUAGGUGAGAGGAAGGUAGAAUUCCAGGUGUAGCGGUGAAAUGCGUAGAGAUCUNGGAGGAAUACCNGAUGGCGAAGGCAGCCUUCUGGCAUCAUACUGACACUGAGGUUCGAAAGCGUGGGUAGCAAANAGGAUUAGAUACCCUGGUAGUCCACGCCGUAAACGAUGUCUACUAGUCGUUGGGUCCCUUGAGGACUUAGUGACGCAGCUAACGCAAUAAGUAGACCGCCUGGGGAGUACGGCCGCAAGGUUAAAACUCAAAUGAAUUGACGGGGGCCCGCACAAGCGGUGGAGCAUGUGGUUUAAUUCGAUGCAACGCGAAGAACCUUACCUGGUCUUGACAUAUCUAGAAUCCUGCAGAGAUGCGGGAGUGCCUUCGGGAAUUAGAAUACAGGUGCUGCAUGGCUGUCGUCAGCUCGUGUCGUGAGAUGUUGGGUUAAGUCCCGCAACGAGCGCAACCCUUGUCCUUAGUUACCAGCGGUUUGGCCGGGAACUCUAAGGAUACUGCCAGUGACAAACUGGAGGAAGGCGGGGACGACGUCAAGUCAUCAUGGCCCUUACGACCAGGGCUACACACGUGCUACAAUGGUAGGUACAGAGGGCAGCUACACAGCGAUGUGAUGCGAAUCUCAAAAAGCCUAUCGUAGUCCAGAUUGGAGUCUGCAACUCGACUCCAUGAAGUAGGAAUCGCUAGUAAUCGCGGAUCAGAAUGCCGCGGUGAAUACGUUCCC